rnacentral:lncRNA from 1 species
AUGGUGACUAUCGUGGUCGCCGUUACCAUGACUGUCCUGCUCAUCGGAGCCGGGUUUCUGAUUUUCUUCUGUGUCCGUUUCCGAAAACCACGAAGUAGCCGGCAUGUCGCUGUCACCACCUCGUCCACACCUCCGCCAUCUGCGCCUUUACCUUCUGCGCCUCCGUCUUCUGCGCCUCCGCCUUAUGAGAACAUUUGCCCUUACGGACCCCCAGCAUCAUGGGUGAGUUUAUGCUCGCUCUUGGAGCCAUGACCAUGAGCCCAUACCAACAAAUAGGAAUUUGUUAAAUCCUCCAGGCAACUCUAUCAUACCCACUUAGCUCUCCACUACAGAGUUGCACUGGAGGACCUGCAGCUUCCCAGAGAGCACAUCUCUGGGAAUUUCUAGGUCCUCCAGAAUGAUUUGGUUGGAGAUUGAUCAUAGACUUGUGCCAGAGGACUUAGGAAUUCCUAGAGGGACACAUCUCCAGACACUAUUGGUCCUCUAGAAUGAUUCUAUUGGAAGUUGCCAUAAAGUUACACUGGAGGACAAGGAGCCUCCGGUGGCAUAGUGGAUUAAAGCCUUGUGACUUGAAGGUUGGGUUGCUGACCUGAAGGCUGCCUGGUUCGAAUCCAACCUGGGGAGAGCACGGAUGAGCUCCCUCUAUCAGCUCCAGCUCCAUGCAGGGAAAUGAGAGGAGCCUCCCACAAGGAUGGUAAAAACAUCAAAACAUCUGGGCAUCCCCUGGGCAACGUCCUUGCGGACGGCCAAUUCUCUCACACCAG